ACUCCUACGGGAGGCAGCAGUGGGGAAUAUUGCACAAUGGGCGCAAGCCUGAUGCAGCGACGCCGCGUGAGGGAUGACGGCCUUCGGGUUGUAAACCUCUUUCAAUAGGGAC
rnacentral:rRNA from 1 species